UCAGCAAGCAGUUCAGAAAAGGAAAGCAAGAGAAGAACUAAUGAGCGCGCAAAUGCGUUUGGAGACGACGGAUAUGCGAUGAGCCCCCUCUAUGUGCUUCUGGCCUGCUUUUUCGUCCAGACAACAUUUGUGGAAGGGCGAGGAAAAGGAGGGUGUUCAUUGAGACCGAAACCAGGAAACUGUACUAGUAUUCCUUGGUGGAACUAUAACCCAAAAUCACAGAAAUGUGAACUGAUAACGGAAGGAUGUCCUCGCAAGAAGCGUAACUAUUACCGCUCAUGCGAGAUAUGCGCAGAAACAUGCAUCAAGCAGAACCAAGAAACACCGAAGAAGAAACCCUGUCCCGGAAAGCUUAAACAAGUAUUAAACAAGCUGAGAAAUAAACUGAGAAAGCC
rnacentral:lncRNA from 1 species